GUGAAUCAUCGAAUCUUUGAACGCACAUUGCGCCCCGUGGCAUUCCGCGGGGCAUGCCUGUCCGAGCGUCAUUGCACCCCUCAAGCGUGGCUUGACGUUGGGCGCGGCCGACCGGCCCGCCCCAAAGGCAGUGGCGGCGCCGCCCGGCCCCGAGCGCAGUACGACCCUCGCUCCGGGACCGCGCGGCUGCCCGCCAGGAACCCCCUCGUGGUUGACCUCGGAUCAGGUAGGGAUACCCGCUGAACUUAAGCAUAUCAAUAAGCGGAGGA
rnacentral:misc_RNA from 1 species